rnacentral:tRNA from 1 species
GAAAUAAGGGACCCAAAAAUAAGCUUCUAACUUAAUUUUUAAGCAGUGUAAUUCUGUUUUUAUUUCU